rnacentral:lncRNA from 1 species
CACAACUAUAACAUUAUAUCAAAUCCACACCAUAAUAUUAAAAAAAAUAUUUUGAGAAAUUUAAAUAUUUAUUCAUAAAAUCUGGGGUCUCACAAUCUCUCCUCUUUAUGAAAUUUAUUUAUCAAUACAGUUGCCAGAAGAAGCAAGACAACAGAAGAAGCCAUCCAUCAGGACCAGAAAGCGCUGGUGGAGAAACCCUCUUCUCUUCUUCAGCUGGCCCUCUUCCCACAAAACCAAUACAAGACCACCCAACUAUCCCCCACUUUACAUCACCGACAGCAGGAGUGGGUCUUACCGGACCACCAGCCGGCCGAUGAAGAUGGACAUAAUUCCCUACAUCAGUCUCGGGGACCAUCACCACCUGAUCUCCCCCAUGCCUAUGCCCAUUUAUUUGGUCACCUAGCUACAUACAUACAUAAUUCUUGAAAUUGUUAUCUAUCUCUCUCCCUCCCUCCCUGGAUUAUUAAUCUAUUAAUUUUGCUCUGAUUAAUUCUGCAACUACGUACAUGAAUAUUGAAGCCUUGCUUUGAGUUUGACUAACCUUUCCUCCUCUUUCUCUUUUGCAUUUGUUUUUGGACCAGAUCCGUUGGGACCAAACGUAUUGUUUGUCGUCCCUUUGAUUUGAUUAAUACAGGUAGUAGUAAUUUAGUAUAUUCUUUAUAUUGAUUAAUGAAUGAUUUUAAUUUAAAAAGGUUUGUUUUCAAGAUUAAAUAAAUUAAUAAUAUCGAAAUUAUCAAAAAUAAACUUUUAAAUAAAAAUGGAAAUCAUUUAAAAACAGGGAGGGAGUUUCUUAUUACUGGUUACCGUUGGUUGAAGUAGGCUAACGCCAGGGUAGUGGACCAUGUCCAUGUGUGGUGAGUAUAGGAAUUGGACAAGUAGCCGAUGUAAUCCCCCAUGCCCCAUAUGAUAUGUAUACAUACAUGUGAAGGAG